rnacentral:lncRNA from 1 species
AUUUCCUCGAUACUGCAAAGGUUUUAGGCAAGUUGCGCCGAAGACUUAUGUUUCGAGUAAGAACCAGCGUCUGAUCACGCGCCCUUGGCGGCGAUGAUGUUAGAAUCGCCGAACCUCGUUCCUACGGGAGAAAAACAAGUAAGAGUAUUUAUUUAAUAGAAUAUAUAUUUUCAUAAUAAAAAUUAAAUAUAAAUGCUUAGGUUUUUAAUUCAUAACCUAAAAAAUCAUAGUUAAAAUAUUCAAUUUUAGUAGACAUUUAGGUCAAAUAAUACUUCUCUACCUCCUUUAAAUUGGAAAUUAAAUGUUCAAUUGCAAAAAUAAUACAAAAAAGUGGUAUUAUCUCUUUCACUUACAUAACUUAUGCUUUAAAUUUUAUAUUUAUAAAAUCUUAUAAGAAAUUUGUAGUAUUAUUAACAAAUUUUUUUCUUAUUUGUUUUAAAUUUUUCUAUAGUAAAUAAAAGAUAAUAAUUUUGAUGAGUCGUGAUAAUGGUUUUAUUUCGAGUUUUUUUAUUAUAUUAUUAAUAUAUUUUAUUUAUAUUUAUGACAUAUUAUUAACAUAUUUUAUUCAACGAAUUGGACAAAUAAUUUGGGGAUACAUUAAUAUAGACGUUAUAAUUUAGUUUAGUAACAAAGGUUAGAUUAAUUUUUUUGAGUUUCUUGAAUCAUAAACUUCGACCACCCAAUUUAAAAAUAUAUUGUUCGUCCAUUUAAUUAGAUAAAAUCUAUGAACUUAAUAUUUUUUUAAUAUCUCAUAAAAAAAUUUUAAUAAUUUUUUGUGAAUUCAUUGAUAAUAUUGUUAGGUAGAUAAGAAGUAAUUAGACACAGAAUUCAAAACAAAUUUAAUUAGCACAAAUCUCCCGCAUAGGAGGGAGAUUUUUGUUUCAAUCUCACAAAUUUAUUCCUCAUUCUCUUUAAUAAUUCUUUAAAGUUUUUUGAGUUUAGUCUUUCACUCAGAAAGUGUAGCCCCAAAUAUUUAAACAUCACAAUUUGAUAUAUUUAAGCCUGAUAUUUCACUCAAUUUAUUUUUUAAAUUAUUCUUUAUAUUCUUACUAAAAAAAACAGAGAAAACUUAUUUUUAUUUACAGAUUAACUAAACUAAGAACAGUAUUUAUUAAGACAGUCUAAAAUCGCAAUAAUAUUUCGUUGAUUGACUUGGUAAAAGAUAAGCAAAUUAGAUAAUAAUUAAAUUUAAUAUAUUAGUUUUAAUUUAGAUUCUAAAAAAUUCUACUAAUGGUUGUUUAUAUUAAGCUUGUUUUAAAUUUUUAAAUUUUACACAUUUUAUAAUGAAUUUCAUUUUAUGAUUUUGUGAUUAAAUAUGGUCACAUACCUUCUACACAUUCUCCCACAAAAAACCAAACAAGCAAGCACAAGAUGCAUAUGAAUUCAAGACUUAUUUCUGAUAUAGUCUGAAAAAAGUAAGAAAAAAAUUAUAAAAUAAUGAUUUGCAAUGUAAACCAAAUUACUUUUCAUUAUAAAUAUAAUCAUGUUGAAAAACAACAAAAAUUAUUUUUCUCCAUCUUAUCAUUUGGUCUUUAUAUAUCAAACUUUUAACUUAAAGUUCUGUAUCAGAUGGUAACUGUGGCUACAAGCUAGCAGCAAUAAAUGAGGAGUUCUCUUCUUGCUUUAGGCUGUCAGCAACAUGAGCAACAACUCCAGCACCAGCAUUGUGAAGCCAUUCAUUUUUAACCUGGAUGUAAAGAAGGUAACUUUGAGCCUGAGUAGAAGAAGUAAUCUGUAACAAUAAUCAUAACACACAAG